GCACCCAUGGAGCAGAAGUUUAACUCAUUCCCCUCCCAUUCAAUGUGUUAAGGGAAAGACCCGGGUGCAAAUCCCGGUGGGUGUA